GGUGAACGCUGGCGGCAUGCUUUACACAUGCAAGUCGAACGGUAACAGGCCGCAAGGUGCUGACGAGUGGCGAACGGGUGAGUAAUGCAUCGGAACGUGCCCAGUCGUGGGGGAUCACGCAGCGAAAGCUGCGCUAAUACCGCAUACGAUCUAUGGAUGAAAGCGGGGGCCCGUAAGGCCUCGCGCGAUUGGAGCGGCCGAUGUCAGAAUAGGUAGUUGGUGGGGUAAAGGCUCACCAAGCCAACGAUCUGUAGCUGGUCUGAGAGGACGACCUGCCACACUGGGACUGAGACACGGCCCAGACUCCUACGGGAGGCAGCAGUGGGGAAUUUUGGACAAUGGGCGCAAGCCUGAUCCAGCAAUGCCGCGUGCAGGAAGAAGGCCUUCGGGUUGUAAACUGCUUUUGUACGGAACGAAACGGUCCUGGUUAAUACCUGGGGCUAAUGACGGUACCGUAAGAAUAAGCACCGGCUAACUACGUGCCAGCCGCCGCAGUAAAAC
rnacentral:rRNA from 1 species